rnacentral:lncRNA from 1 species
AUAUAGUCUAAGCUUGAUAUGUUUUUAUCACUUCAUCUUCAAACCCGACCUCUCUGGAUCUCGCCUCUUUCACCUUCUAGCAAUUUGGUAACUUCUCGAACCCUUCUUCAAGUAAGUAUCCGAAUUUGGCAACACAUAAUCAAUUAUUCAUUCAGUAAAUAUCUCAAAUCUUAGUUUGAAUAGAUCUAUCUUUGUAUAUGUAUCUUGUUAUCAUGUGUCAUUGUGUGUUUACAUAUCUUUUUAUCAUGUGUUCUGUUUUAGUUAAUAUUUGAUAUCUUUUCAAUUGAACUACAGUUAUUAUGUGUGUAAUAACAUGAUUAUAUUAUAUGCGUUGUAGUACAUGUAAUAUCAAAUACUUAGAAUUGCAAGUUUUACUUAUCGUAUUCAUCUAAAUUAUGUGAUUGAUGAUUUUGUAAGGUUGAAGUUAGUAUGGGUAGGGGCAGAAAAAUCAUAUUUACUCAGAGAACUCGAUAUGAAUUUGACCUUUAAAAUACGAAUUUGAACAGGUCAGAGCUUUUUAGGUUUGUGUCGGUUUUAGAUUGACCCGAUACUGACGAGGAAAACAUAAGUUAAUUCACAAUUGGUAUCGGAGACUGAUUUCAGCUGGAUCUCCCCAAAAAUCAUUUGAAUUAAUUUAUCGAUAUAUUACCCCAAAAUAGCAAAACAAUUGUAUCCCAAGAUUAAUAAAUUUUAAUUACAAUUUGUUUGUUAUUUACUAAUUAACAUUUGUUAUAAUAUUUUAUUAAAAUAUGAUCAAUAUAUGUAUCUCGAGAGGGUCUCCAUAUAAGAUGUUAUAUUAUAAAAAUUAAUGAUAUUUCUUAUUAUUUAUAUAACAUCUAUUAUUUAAAUUAAUUGCCUGUCCCUUUUGGCGGGGGGUACACAGGCAUUUUCUCCGCCUAUAUGAUCUUGUUUAACUCACACCUGCAGCCUUCUUUCUAUGAUUUAGUUUCAUUUUUGUUCAAUUUAUUGUGCUUAGCAAGCGUACUUAGAUUCUUACAAAAAAUAUAUAGAAGUUGUUUAUAACGGUUUAAGAGUUUAUGUGUUGGUCAUUGUUCCGAUCGAGCACUCUUUUUUCAUUGCCCCAUUCCGUCUUACCAAACAAGACUGACUUCUUACCAACCCACCAAGGUAGGGGUAUAUUAUUUUUAAUUAUGCUAUGUAUGUAUUUGUUAAAGCUUUUCAUAUAAUACUUAAUUAUUAUUUAAUAAAUCUAGCAUUACUAUUAUACUAAAUUUUAUUAAACGAUUAUAUUAUUAUUAUAUGUCUCUUACUAUUCAUUAAUACACACACAUAUAUGCAACGUAUAUGACUAUCAUCUUCACUUAAAUCGUAAUAAUGGACCUCUUACCACCAUUACUAGACGUUUCUAUGACUUGCCACCAUUGUCUAUCAUCACCAAUAGUCAUAUACACUUUCCAUUUUAGAAACUAGAAACCAGUUUCUGGACAGUUUUUAAUCACUAUUUUUAACUACAGAAAUCACUAAUUUGUACAUAACAUAUCCAUUUUUAUGGUGUUGUUUACGUGGUUUUUAUUCUAAUGUGGUGCGGUCGCGAUUUGAGUAUUCAACCAAACCGCAUAUGCAGUUUGGUUUGCGGGAAAAACUGCACUGCCCACACCGCGAUCACCCCUGCGCGAAGGGAAUUUUCUGUGACAAAAAUUUUCCUUCAUUUUUUUACCACCACUAAUUAAAAAUCCUUGAUCCGUCCUCUUUGGUACAAAACUGACCUCCAUUAUAUAUAUAUAUAUAUAUAUAUAUAUAUAUAUAUAUAUAUAUAUAUAGAGAGAGAGAGAGAGAGAGUCCUACUCCAAUAGAAACCAAAUUAAUUUAGAAACUAGAAACCAGUUUCUGGACAGUUUUUAAUCACUAUUUUUAACUACAGAAAUCACUAAUUUGUACAUAACAUAUCACUAAUUUAUACAUAGCAUAUCUCGCAAAUAUAAAUAUAUAUAUAUACACACACAUAUAUGCAACGUAUAUGACUAUCAUCUUCACUUAAAUCGUAAUAAUGGACCUCUUACCACCAUUACUAGACGUUUCUAUGACUUGCCACCAUUGUCUAUCAUCACCAAUAGUCAUAUACACUUUCCAUCAUAACUUACAAAACUAACGACUACUUACCAUAAUCAUACAACUUUUCUUGCGGCUUCUUACCUCCAAGAACCUUCCUACGGAUGAAAUUGAUCAUCUAUAAUUGAUUAUCAAUAGUUUAGAUAAGUAGAUUUUCUCAAUUUUGAUAAUAAAAAUCGCUGUUUACAUACUGUAUAAAAACAGUGAUUAGUGCAGUAUAAAUUAGUGAUGCCCGUAGUUAUAAAUAGUGGUAGGGAAACUGGUUUCUAGUUUUUAUUUUAAGAGUUGUUUCUAUUUGAUCAUUAGCCUAUAUGGAGUUAAGUUCUAUGGAGUACACAAAAACAUUGGAGUAUUGGAGUACAAGUCUUAAUUUUUUAGUUUAAUCAUAAAUAAUAUAUUUGAUUACACAAAUUUAUAUACAAUCUAUCAUUUAUAAGUUGUCUUGCACAUAAUUGUCUAUCAAUCUUUAAUAUCUUUCAACUUUAACAAGUAUUAACAUUAUUGUUCUGCUUAUUAGUUAUAUUGCAGAACAUAGAGUCCUGUAAUUUAUAAAAGUCAUUAUUCUACCUUUUGAUUACAAUGUUUAUGUUGUGUAGAACAUAAUGUGCAGGUUAUUAAAUGUUUACGAAUAUUAUUGAACAAAAAAAUUGAAAUUUAGAUGAAUAGAUUACAUUUUAUCCAACUUUGUACUCCAAUACUCCAAUAUAUUGUGUACUCCAUUGAACUUUACUCUAUAUAUAUAUAUAUAUAUGUGUGUGUGUGUGUGUGUGUGUGUGUGUGUGUGUGUGUGUGUGUGUACAUACAUGUAUACAUAUAUAUAUAUAUAUAAGCAAUUACUCAAAUACAAAACUAAAUUACAAACGAAGAAAAAGCACCCCUAAACGACAUCAUUCACCAUGUAUGUGCCAUCAUCCACUAUAUAUGACAUCACCCACCUACAGCCCACCUCGCCCCACUCAAUCCAUGUCGGGAUGAGGUGUGUUGUAUGGUAAAUAUUAGUAGUAGUGGCACGUUAUGGUGGUAAAUGGUAAUAGGUCAAUCAUGAUUGUAGGUGAUAGCGGUAUGAGUGGAAGAGGUUGAUAACGAUGUGUAGUUCAUCAAUGUAGUAUGAGUGAAGAUGAUGAUGAUAUACAUCGUAUAUAUCUGUAUUUUGUAUAUGUAUAUUUGUGAGAUUUUUUAUAUAAGAAUUAGUGAUUUGUGGGGUACAUUUGCAGUUUAAAACAGUUAUCAAAAAUUGGUCAGGGGGACUAAUUUGCUUAUUUGGUUUAUAGUAGCGUAGGAUAUAUGUAAGCAUGUUUAUUGCUUGUAUGUGAGUGUUUAAUACUUUAGAAUAAUAUACAAUAUUCCUCUGUGUUGUAAAUAUAUUUACUAAUGUUGGUUCAUGGUUAUAUAUAGACAAAUUUAAUUUUUUUCAAAGGGAGAUACACUUGUUUGGCAUGUAUGUGUUCAAUAUUCCUCGAGCAUUUCAGUAUUUGUAUGUUAUAGAAGAAUGGUUGUGUACUUCAAUUUACUGGUUGUGUACUUCAAUUUACUGUGGAUCAUCAAAUUAUGUGUAACAGUUUAUAAAUUCAAUAUUUGAGAGUGUAUUUUAAUUUAACAGUUAAUAAGUUUGGGUAAUAUUUUUUUCCAGAAAAUGCCUUCUAAACGCUCCCUUGAACAAGGCAGUAGUGCGGGGACUGAAAUGACGCUACCAAAUCCAAAAGUACGUAUCAGGCAUGCUAUACUGGAACAGAGAGGGUCGAAUGGAAUAGUGAGGACGACGUACUUCCGAAUGGAAAAUGGGGUCAAUAAAAUCUUGCG